AUAAGCUUUGGUGGAAGGCGGAUUUUCAUGAACGAGAGCGAUUGAAGAUUCAAUUUCAUAUUAGUAUUUGUAAUGUCUAAAAUUUGUAUUUUGUUUUCAUUGAAUAUUAUGAGUAGUUAAACCCCCUAAUGCUAGGGGGUGUCCCUGAUUUGAAUCUGGAAUAACUAUGAUUUUAUAUUUGCAAUAACAAUGUGGAUUUGCAUAACCAAU
rnacentral:lncRNA from 1 species